rnacentral:rRNA from 1 species
AAGAUGCAGUGUACCCGCGGCAAGACGGAAAGACCCCGUGAACCUUUACUAUAGCUUGACACUGAACCUUGAGCCUUGAUGUGUAGGAUAGGUGGGAGGCUUUGAAGUGUGGACGCCAGUCUGCAUGGAGCCAACCUUGAAAUACCACCCUUUAAUGUUUGAUGUUCUAACGUGGGCCCCUAAUCGGGGUUGCGGACAGUGUCUGGUGGGUAGUUUGACUGGGGCGGUCUCCUCCCAAAGAGUAACGGAGGAGCACGAAGGUUAGCUAAUCCUGGUCGGACAUCAGGAGGUUAGUGCAAAGGCAUAAGCUAGCUUGACUGCGAGAGUGACGGCUCGAGCAGGUGCGAAAGCAGGUCUUAGUGAUCCGGUGGUUCUGAAUGGAAGGGCCAUCGCUCAACGGAUAAAAGGUACUCCGGGGAUAACAGGCUGAUACCGCCCAAGAGUUCAUAUCGACGGCGGUGUUUGGCACCUCGAUGUCGGCUCAUCACAUCCUGGGGCUGAAGUAGGUCCCAAGGGUACGGCUGUUCGCCGUUUAAAGUGGUACGCGAGCUGGGUUUAGAACGUCGUGAGACAGUUCGGUCCCUAUCUGCCGUGGGCGUUGGAAGAUUGAGGGGGGUUGCUCCUAGUACGAGAGGACCGGAGUGAACGCACCACUGGUGUUCGGGUUGUCAUGCCAAUGGCAUUGCCCGGUAGCUAAGUGCGGAAGAGAUAACCGCUGAAAGCAUCUAAGCGGGAAACUUGCCCCGAGAUGAGUCUUCCCUGGGACUUCGAGUCCCCUGAAGGGCCGUUGAAGACGACGACGUAGAUAGGCUGGAUGUGUAAGCGUAGCGAUACGUUGAGCUAACCAGUACUAAUGACCCGAGAGGCUUAACCUUACAACACCGAAGGUGUUU